rnacentral:misc_RNA from 1 species
CUGGAAUCGUCAAGUAGCAGUCUCCGAUGAAGCAUCAAUUCUACUUGUCCAUCCACUAAGCUAGACGCUCCAAGAGGCCGAUCCACCAGAACUGAAAAUUCUUUCUUAUCAUCUUUGGUGUAAAUUCCAAGAUUAAUCGGAUAGAAAUUUCCAGCAGCUGGUUGGUUCACUUCCAGGUCCCAAUCUGUCCUAUAAUCACGAAUUCUUUUGAUAAAAUCACGUCCAUUAGAAUCCGUAUAGAAUGUUUUGUUGGUCCCCAUUGUAGUUGUAAUCUGUGUUGCAACUUCUUUUCCAAUUCCAUCAUCAAUGGGUAUAGGCCCAACAAAAAAUUCAACUUCAACAUGCUCUUUCCCCU